CCUGGUUGAUUCUGCCAGUAGUCAUAUGCUUGUCUCAAAGAUUAAGCCAUGCGUGUCUAAGUAUAAGCAAUCAUACUGUGAAACUGCGAAUGGCUCAUUAAAUCAGUUAUCGUUUAUUUGAUAGUACCUUUACCUGGAUAACCGUGGUAAUUCUAGAGCUAAUACAUGCUAAAAACCCCGACUUCGGAAGGGGUGUAUUUAUUAGAUAAAACCAAUGCCCUCUGGGCUCUUUGGUGAUUCAUAAUAACUUAACGAAUCGCAUGGCCUUGCGCCGGCGAUGGUUCAUUCAAAUUUCUGCCCUAUCAACUUUCGAUUGUAAGAUAGAGGCUUACAAUGGUAUUAACGGGUAACGGGGUAUUAGGGUUCUAUUCCGGAGAGGGAGCCUGAGAAACGGCUACCACAUCCAAGGAAGGCAGCAGGCGCGCAAAUUACCCAAUGCUAAUUCAGCGAGGUAGUGACAAUAAAUACUGAUACGGGGCUCUUUCGGGUCUCGUAAUUGGAAUGAGUACAAUCUAAAUCCCUUAACGAGGAACAAUUGGAGGGCAAGUCUGGUGCCAGCAGCCGCGGUAAUUCCAGCUCCAAUAGCGUAUAUUAAAGUUGUUGCCGUUAAAAAGCUCGUAGUUGAACCUUGGACCUGGCUGAUCUGUCCUCCUAAUCGAGCGCACGGAUUCGGUCGGGUCUUUCCUUCUGGGGAGCCCUAUGCCCUUCACUGGGUGUAGUGGGGAACCAGGACUUUUACCUUGAAAAAAUUAGAGUGUUCAAAGCAGGCCUUUGCUCGAAUACAUUAGCAUGGAAUAAUAGAAUAGGACAUCGGUUCUAUUUUGUUGGUUUCUAGGACCGCUGUAAUGAUUAAUAGGGAUAGUCGGGGGCGUCAGUAUUCAAUUGUCAGAGGUGAAAUUCUUGGAUUUAUUGAAGACUAACUACUGCGAAAGCAUUCGCCAAGGAUGUUUUCAUUAAUCAGUGAACGAAAGUUAGGGGAUCGAAGACGAUCAGAUACCGUCGUAGUCUUAACCAUAAACUAUGCCGGCUAGGGAUCGGACGGUGGUUUUUUUAUGCCCCGUUCGGCACCUUACGAGAAAUCAAAGUUUUUGGGCUCGGGGGGGAGUAUGGUCGCAAGGCUGAAACUUAAAGAAAUUGACGGUAGGGCACCACCAGGCGUGGAGCCUGCGGCUUAAUUUGACCCAACACGGGGAAACUCACCAGGUCCAGACAUGCUUAGGAUUGACAGAUUGAUAGCUCUUUCUUGAUUGUAUGGGUGGUGGUGCAUGGCCGUUCUUAGUUGGUGGAGUGAUUUGUCUGCUUAAUUGCGAUAACGAACGAGACCUUGACCUGCUAAAUAGCCAGG
rnacentral:rRNA from 1 species